rnacentral:misc_RNA from 1 species
GUGAAUCAUCAAAUUUUUGAACGCAAAUUGCACUCUCUGGUAUUCCGGAGAGUAUGCCUGUUUGAGGGUCAGUAUAAAUAAAAAUCGUAGUGCUUGCUGCCUUUCGUGGUGACGCACCGGAUCUGGGUUGUCUUGCCUUCGGCUAAGUGACAUAAAAUUUAGCAUGAUUUUUUUCGAAUGUAUUUAUAUGAUUUUACGUACGUUUUCGAUAUCGAAUAUUAGGU